CUUCAUUCCAAUUUCAAAAUUCCUGAUUUGUACCGCCGUCAGCUUUCGGCAUUGCCGCCACCGUCUCCUUCCUUCUUCGCCGCCGAAAUAUUCGAAAAAUGGAUUUCAUGGCAGAAUGGAAAUCCAUGUGGCCUGUAGCCUCCACCUUCGCUGCGCCAUUACUCCUCCCAAAUAAUGAUCCCUCAGCACCAUUUGGCCCACUUACGUUCACCCCAAGCCCUACCUUCUCAACCACUAUCCUUCAAUCUCCCUCCCUCUCACCAUGCCUUCCCCCACAAUAUCCACAAUUAAACCUUCACAGGUUCCUCCAACAUCAUUGUGGUAUUCCUACCUCCGACAAUUCUGUUCCCUUUUUUUUGGGAUCCCAGGAGGCCGAUUCCUUUUCAGAGUAUCAUGCCCCCAACUCUCUUCAAUUGCUUCAGAUUCCUCACAAAAACCUAGUUAUUGCAUUUUUCCCUGCAGGGGAGAAUUAUGACCGUGUGGGCUUCUCUUUACUUUCCUUGAAAGGCGGUAUUUUGGAGGUUCAGUCGCAAAGGGAUCGUUUCCUCCAUUUAGUUGAACAAGGUAAUGUUCAUCGUCAGCGAAUCACAUGCUUGUUGGUGAACCCAGUUGAUGAUUUUGGGUGCAAUGAUGAUGUAGUUGGGCAUUUGAUGCUUUGUACAAAGUAUUCUGUUUGUUGGUAUAGGGUCAGAAUCACCAAUAUGGAUAAACACAAUGAAAAUAAUGUUUUUGUUGAUUAUCUGGGUCCUGCCAAUGCCAAGAUGUUAAUGGGAAAGUCAGUUGAAUGUGCUUGUUGGAGUCCACAUAUGAGUGAAGAGUGCUUAGUUUUGUUGGAGAGUGGUGAUUUAUUACUGUUUGAUGUUAAUAACUCUUCUGCAAGAAAGACCAAUUCAAUGUCUUCUGUUAAUAAAAAGGUGCAAGUUUCGUUGAGUGGUAAGUUGGGAUUGAAGGAGGAAAGUCUACCUGGGGGUCAGCAAUGGUUUGGAUGUGAAUUUAGUUGGCAUCCAAGAAUCUUCAUUGUUUGUCAUCGAAAUGAGAUACUCUUGGUUGAUGUAAGGUCUUCUGUUGAAUGCCAUGCCUCUUGUUUACUGAAGCUUCAAAUCUUGAAGAUGAGCAUAAAUGAUGGAUUUUUCUCACUCUCGAGGGCAGGGUCUGAUAGUUUCUUCUACAUUGUGGCAACUGGAUCCAUGCUUCUCCUUUGUGAUGUGCGGAAACCAUUAAUACCAGUCUUGAGGUGGACUCAUACUAUAAAAAAUCCGCGAUAUAUGACUGUCUUUAGAUUGUCAGAGUUGAGAGCAAAUGCACAAGAUGCAAAGUACAAGUUGGCUUCUGAAUCAGGCUAUUGUGUUAUUUUGGGAUCGUUUUGGGACAAUGAUUUCAGUCUUUUUUGUUAUGGUCCUGAUGUUAAUGGAAAUGGACCUGUCAAUUCUGCAAUCUCUAAAUUUUGCAACCUACAUUAUUCAUGGGGAUUCCCCUCGGAGCUUUUGAUGUCCAGGUCCGAUUGUGCAUGUGGUAGUUGUUUUGUAAGAGAGGAGUCGUGGAAAUCCUCCCUCCCAGUUUGGAUUGACUGGAGGGAUAAGAAGGGGUUGAUUUUGGGAUUUGGCGUUCUCAAACCACAGCUUUCUGUACAGCCUUCUUCCUUUGGCAGUUUUGGUGGGUUUACACUGAUCAGGCAUACCUCAUCAGGGAAGCUAGAAGCACAGAACUACCUCGCAGCAUGGAGAUCCGAUAAGGUUUUGGAAGCAGGUCACAAAAGGAAGAGGAUUCAGUUGGAGGAUAUUCAAUUAUAUGAUCACAGCUAUGCAGAAUCUGAGGGGGGUAAGGUUUUUUUCCUAAAACUGGAUUUCCUUGAUGCAUAUCUGGAGGAUAAACUAGCAAAUUUCAUUUCGGCAAGAAGAGAGAAGAUGAAAGAGAGUGAUAGAACUGCCCAGAAAGAUUAUCUUGGUAAUUCCAAGAUUGUUUUCCAUCAAGAAAAAUGUCAUAGGUUGAACGACUUUGGACUUACAAGAAUAAAAUCCUCUCUUACGACUUCUGCUGUGUUGAACGCUAUCAAAUGGCCGAUUAGCAUACAUGAGGUUGCUUCAGGGUGCACCUAUGGAGCUUUGCCCUCAAACUUAUUGCAAUUGGCUUUCACCACCUACUCAGAUUUUAGUAAGUAUCUUGCGAGCCAAUAUGUGCCUCUGGAGUUCCUGGAAAUUCCUAACCAGCCCGAAGCCCAGCCGUUUACUUUUAGAAAUCCAUCACGCCGCAGCAAUCUUUGGACUACCAAAGUCCGGCCAUCUGAUUCCCUUGUAGGUCCAGUUGUUCCUGCUUAUUUUCUAAAAGCUCUUAAUGACCUUUGUGAGGAUGACCUUAAAGAGGAAAGCCAGUUGAACGGUGAAGAGCCAGAAGCUUUUUCAUCUCAUUCUCAAUUCAAAAAUUUAUGUGAUAAGGUUAUGGAGGUUGCUCAGGAACACAUUUCAUGCUCAGAUGUCAGACCUCAGUAUGAUCCUGUUUCUCUUGCAGAUGAUACUGAAGAUAUGAGCAAUCAUAUCCAGAAAUUAAAAUUAUCUUGUCAUAAUCCAUCUUCAUUCGUGCAAAGUCCGUCAAGAAUGGAUAUUUUAAAACCUGAAUGUGAGAAUAACAUAUUUUCAACUCAUUUCUUUAGGAGAAGCCAAAACCUUGCUUGUGAUCUUAGUAAGGAGAUGGUAGGGAAAGAAAUAUUUGAUGUAGGUUGCCCAAUAGAAUUGGAUUUCGAUGAUUACACUGAUGUUUUUGGGCCAACGGAAUUGGAAAUGUUUCGAACUUUAAAGAAACAAGACUUAGAAUUUCAAAGAAGUUUUAAGCCGUAUCAAGAUUAUAUUGUUGGACGGGAUGAGUUGAAAUGAGGAUAAUAUGAUGUGAAAAUUCCUUUGGUUGAGAAAAUUCCUAAUUGGACCAUGUUGAAACAAGUAAAGUAGCUUCAUUCCACACCAAUUUUCAAGAUGGGGGAGAAGGCAGAAGCUCUUGAUGCUGUGCUGAAGGAAACUUUUGAUUUAGAGAACAUACCCAUUGAGGAAGUGUUUGAGAAUCUAAGAUGCACCAAAGCAGGGCUCACAACCAAGGUGGCUGAGG